CCCUUAGCUUAAUUUGUGAAUAAGGAAAAACGUUUUCCUAUUGUUUUAAUUCUCAGUGUUUGAGGGUUUGUUUGCAUUGGUUCAGAGUUUACUUUAAAUAGUUAAAAAUGCACAUUCGAGGUGUGCGCACGUAUGUGACGUAUAGUGUUUUUGUCUAAAGCUACACUGACUGCGGAUAGCUGGCUAGCUUGAUACAGUUGUUGCGGCAUCCUUGAAAUUAAUAUUUUGUUUCCGCUAGCUUACGUCAGUAAUUAGAAAAACGAAUGAGCAAUAGCCCACACUAUUGCAGGAAAUCACACGCUACCAUGGAUCACAUUUGGCAUCCUCCAAUGUGACUAGGACGUCUGGACUAGUCUUGUGCCAGUGGAGUUAGCUAGCAAACAAGCUGGCUAGCUGGUCUGCUUGCUAAUGCUAUCUAGCUAGGUGAUAUUGCAGCACGUUGAGAUUCUUGAAACUUGUGGAACUUUUUGUCAAGUACAGUACAAUGGCUCCCAAAGACAUCAUGACCAACUCCCAUGCCAAAACCAUCCUCAAUGCCAUGAACUCACUUCGUAAGAGCAACACACUCUGUGACAUCACUUUGAGAGUGGAGAAUACUGACUUUCCUGUACACCGCAUUGUCCUGGCAGCCUGCAGUGACUACUUCUGCGCCAUGUUCACCAGCGAGCUCUCUAAGAAUUCCCAGUUGUCAGAGAAAGGGAAAUCCUUUGUAGACAUUCAGGGGUUGACUGCGUCCACCAUGGAGAUCCUGCUGGACUUUGUUUACACAGAGACUGUUUUGGUCACAGUGGAAAAUGUCCAGGAACUGCUUCCUGCUGCCUGUCUGCUGCAGCUCAAAGGAGUUAAAAGAGCUUGUUGUGACUUUCUGGAUAGUCAGCUUGAUCCCACAAAUUGCCUGGGCAUUCGUGACUUUGCUGAGACCCACAAUUGCCUUGACCUGAUGCAGGCCGCUGAACUCUUCUCCCAGAAGCACUUCCCUGAGGUGGUUCAACAUGAGGAGUUUAUGCUGCUCAGCCAGAACGAGGUUGAAAAACUAGUUAAAUGUGAUGAAAUCCAGGUGGACUCAGAGGAGCCUGUAUUUGAGGCAGUGUUGAAUUGGGUUAAACACAAUAGGAAAGAGAGGGAGCUGUAUUUAUCGGAGAUGCUGGAGCAUGUGCGGAUGCCUUUGCUCACUCCGCGCUAUAUCACAGAUGUCAUCGACUCAGAGCCCCUCAUUCGAUGCAGUCUUCCCUGUCGAGACCUUGUGGAUGAGGCCAAGAAAUUCCACCUUAGACCAGAGCUGAGGAGUGAGAUGCAGGGGCCACGCACCCAAGCCAGAUUAGGUACAGUACUGACCUCCAUUUUUUGGAUUGAUUUUCUUGUCCUAAUUAUAGGGAUACAAGACAAGCUUAGUGGAAGUUACUACCUUAUUCAUGUGGAAAAAGUGAUUACCAUGUUGCUCUUCCAAGGUGCCAAGGAGGUCCUGUUGGUUAUUGGAGGAUUCGGCAGUCAACAAUCCCCUAUAGAUAUCGUUGAGAAGUAUGAUCCUAAAACUCAGGAGUGGAGCUUUUUACCUAACAUUGCUCGGAAAAGGCGUUAUGUAGCUACCGUGUCCCUCAAUGACCGUGUGUAUGUGAUUGGCGGCUACGAUGGUCGAUCGCGGCUUAGCUCGGUGGAGUGCUUGGACUACACGGCAGACGAGGAUGGUGUCUGGUACACCGUCGCCACUAUGAAUGUACGGCGUGGCCUUGCCGGGGCGACAACACUCGGAGAUAUGAUCUAUGUUGCUGGAGGCUUUGACGGUAGCCGCCGUCACACCAGCAUGGAACGAUAUGACCCCAAUAUUGACCAGUGGAGCAUGCUGGGGGACAUGCAGACAGCCAGGGAAGGGGCUGGCCUGGUGGUUGCUAGUGGACUUAUAUACUGUCUUGGUGGGUACGACGGAUUGAAUAUCCUCAAUUCAGUGGAGCGGUAUGACCCUCACACAGGUCAUUGGACGAAUGUUACCCCCAUGGCCACCAAACGCUCAGGGGCCGGUGUAGCCUUGCUCAAUGACCACAUCUAUGUGGUGGGAGGCUUCGAUGGAACAGCGCACCUCGACUCGGUGGAGGUUUACAACAUUAGGACUGACUAUUGGACCACGGUAGCCAGUAUGACCACUCCCCGCUGCUACGUAGGAGCUACCGUCCUCCGGGGACGACUUUACGCCAUAGCUGGACAGAUGAGAAACAAUGAGGGAGACAGGUGAAGAGGAGAUUCAGAGUGAAGGGAGGACACAGGGAUUGAACCCGUCUCCGGUUAAGAGUUGUGCAUAGAGCCGGGAGUGUUAUCACUCGACCACGGCUCUGCACCCGACUUCAGUAUUAAGAGAUACUGAAGGGAUCAUUAAUAUACAUUAUGUAUGAUGGAAACUCCCUUCUGAGCAGUAUCGAGUGUUAUGACCCUGUUAUUGACAGCUGGGAGGUGGUCACCUCCAUGGCCACACAGCGCUGUGAUGCAGGAGUGUGUGUCCUCCGAGAGAAGUGAGAUUUACCUCAGAACAACCUCAAAGGUCGGGUGAAGCGGAGGAGUACAGUCAUCUAGUCCUGAACUUGAAUCUGAUAUUUACGUGCCACUACUAUGGAGCGACAGAGGGAUUAUUCACUUGGAGGCCAGUGUGCUAUAUGUCCUCCCGGAAGUUUCUUGAUUCUAUUCAUCAGACUUUCUCAUCUGAGCUUAGUUACUUCUGUGUGAUAAGAGACAGUGGGUGUACAACAGUGAUUCGAGUUGUUUCAGUCUCUUCAUCAACAGUUGUUGCUUCCAAGAAGACAUCCAUCCCAACCCACUCGGUCGCAUGACACACUUUUAGUGGUAGCUGUUGCCGUGGUUACCUGUGAGUUUUUUGACUCAUCUUUUAAAGUGCAAUAUAUUUCUCUACUUCUGUUAUGAGCAGAAGAAACAAGAGACUCCAGUUUUCUGCUGCUAUAUGCCUUAUGCCCUUGUGGCCCACAUUGAACUGAACAUCCAUGAUGCCUCAUUAGGACUGUGAUUGUUGUCAUGCCAUCAAGUAUGAUGAUUAUUUAGCAUUUGCCAGGUUUUCAGUCAGACAGUAAACCCUUUGUAGAUUUUGUAAUUCUGUAUAAAGCGCUUUUAGAAACAAAUCACUUAUUGAAGAACUGUCAUAUUUACCUGACAGUCAUUAUUUUCAAUGUAUCAAAGAUAUUCAAAUGAAUGACAUUUUAGAGAAAGCACCAUAAUUGUAUUGUGGACUGCAGAUGAUUCCUUGCUCUUUUGCUGUUUCUGUCGUGUUGUCAAAAUCUCUGUCCCCUGCAACUGACUCCGCUGAAGAUGUGCGUGUGGUGCAUGCGUUUGUCCAUAGUGGAUUUGUUUGGACAAGCAAAAUGACUUGACUUCUAUUGUCCAGGGCAAGUACAAAAUCCUGAGGAGUCUUUUGUUGUUACUUGAAAAAGUGAAUAAACAUUGUGAUAAUGUA